UUUUUAAUUGAGACAUAGUCUCGCUCUGUUGCCCAGGCUGGAGUGCACUGGUGUGAUAUCAGCUCGCUGCAACCUCCGCCUCCCAGGUUCAAGCAAUUCUACUGCCUCAGCCUCCCAAGCAGCUGGGAUUACAGGCGCCCGCCACCAUGCCAGGCUCAUUUUUGUAUUUUUAGGAGAGAUGGGGCUUUACCAUGUUGGCGUUGAAUUGGUUAAAGAAUAGUAGAGUAGUGACGAUAAUGAAUAGGCUGUGGGUGGUCAUGUUGAUUCAGAUUAUGAAUCAACAGGCUGGUCUUGAACUCCUGAACUCAGGUGAUCCGCCCGCCUCCGUCUCCCAAAGUGCUGGGAUUAUAGGCAUGAACCACUACACCUGGCCUUAACCACUAUAUUAUACUGGCAUAACAAAAUAAAUUUUGGACCUUUGAAGGUGUUUUUCAUUUGUAAAUUGAUAAUAGCUCCUAUUUAAAAAGAACAUAUGUUCCCUUCUCUCUUUUUUUUUUGACACUGAGUCUUGCUCUGUUGCUCAGGCUGAAGUGCAGUGGCAUGAUCUUGGCUCACAGCAACCUCCGCCUCCAGGGCUCAGGGGAUCCUCCCACCUCCACCUCCCGGGUUCAAGCGAUUCUCCUGCCUCAGCCUCCCAAGUAGCUGGGAUUACAGGUGCCCACCACCAUACCCAGCUAAUUUUGUAUUUUUAGUAGAGACAGGGUUUCUCCAUGUUGGUCAGGCUGGUCUCGAACUCCCGACCUCAGGUGAUCCGCCUGCCUCUGCCUCCCAAAGUGCUGGGAUUACAGGCGUGAGCCAUCCUGCCCGGCCAUAUUAUUUCUUCCUGUACAGUUUUUUAGAGUAAACAGACUAUUUGCUAGUUCGUUCACUUAUUCUAAAAAUACAUUUACUUUGUACCAGGUCCUAUGCUAAGAUCUUGAUAUAUGUUAUGACAAAUAAAACAAAUGUGGUCUACAGACUCAAAGCUUGUCAUCUGGUAGAGGAAAACAGGCAUUGUGUCAGAAAACAAUAUAAUUUAAAAUUCUAUGAAAGAAAUGAGCAGUAUGUGGUAAUAAAGACAACUGACGUGUAAAAUAACAGAUGUUUUUCUUUCUUUUUUUCUUUUUUUGAGAUGGAGUUUUGCUCUUGUUGCCCAGGCUGGAGUGCAAUGGCACGACCUCAGCUCACUGCAACCUCUGCCUCCCAGGUUCAAGCGAUUCUCCUGUCUCUGCCUCCUGAGUAGCUGGGAUUACAGGCAUGCGCAAGCAUGCCCAGCUAAUUUUGUAUUUUUAGUAGAGGUGGGGUUUCUCCAUGUUGGUCAGGCUGGUCUCAAACUCCUGACCUCAGGUGAUCCACCCACUUCGGCCUCCCAAAGUGCUGAGAUUACAGGCGUGAGCCACCACACCCGGCCCAGGUGUUUUUCAAUAUCUAAUUAUGCAUAAAAAAUGAAUGCAGCUCUCUCUCAAACUGUUCAUUGAACUAAAUUCUUCCAGAACCCAAAGUAAGGAAGAUUUGCUUGAAAUCUGAUUAACAGUUUAUAGCUCUAAUAUGUUAAUAAAUCGCACAGCUUUUUUUUUUUUUACACGAUUAGGGGAGCCAGUUAAUACACGAUAAAUGGCAAUGACAUAACUGGGGCUCCAUGUGCCAUCAAAAUUUGGGGUGCUAAAUCAAUAAAUACACAGACACUUGGUCACUGGCUAUCCUUAGGAGCCUGUGGCUAUGUUGCUGGAUGCUUAUGUUCUGUAAUCCUAAAAUACAUAAGUUAUUUUGAUGUACCCUGUAUUGGUGACUUCUCAGUGCCCUCAAAAUGCAAGUGAUUAAAGAAAUCUCCCAAGGUGCACCUUUGUCAAAUCUGUACUUGUAGUAUCCUAGAAGCUUAAAAAAGACAUAUCAUAAUAACUUGUAAUGAUGCCUGACUUAGCCAACUGUCCCAAGACAGUCCUAUUUGUAACAACUCUGUUCCAAAGUUAUGACUUAUAGCCAUAGAAAAUAAAAGGGAGAGAUGGGACUUAGUGCAGCAUUUCCCAAAGUAUGUUCUCUUCUGCUACACACUCCUAGACAAGAGGAUCUCGUAAGUUUGAAAAACUGUGCUCCAAAUCCUCCUCUUGGAGUUUCACAAUACUUAGAAGCAUAGUAAAGGCUCUAUGAAGUCUUAAAAUUAGAAAACCUGUUUAAUCCAGUGUCUGCCAAAUUUAUUUGGCAACAACAUCAUUUUGUAACUUAAAAAUUGUAUAAAUUAUGGUGAAAUAUAUAUAUACCAUAAAGUAUGCCAUUUUAGCCAUUUUUAAGUGUAUAAGUCAUUGGUGUUACAUUCACCAUGCUGUUUCACCAGCAGCACCAUUUCCAAAGGUUUUCAUAACAUAAACAGAAACUUUGUACCCAUUAAACAAUAAGUCCCCAUUCCUCCCUCCUCCCCACAGUCCCUGGUAACUCUAUUCUACUUUCUGUCUCUAUGAAGUUGCCUAAUCUAGAUAUUUUGUAUAUGUAGAGCCAUACAGUAUUUGUCUUUUUGUGUCUGGCUUAUUUUGCUUGGCAUAUUGUUUUUGAGGUUCAUUCAUGUUGUAGUAUACAUCAUAACUUCAUUCCUUUUUAUGGCUGAAUAUAUUCAAUUGUGUAUAGUUUUGUUAACUUUUGAGGAGCACACUGUGGAAAUGCUGAUAAUGAAUCCGUAUGAGCUUUAGUGCCAGUUGGAACCAUAGUUCUAACACAGUCUAGUUAUGUAAGCUUAGAUAAGUCAUUUCACUUUUCUGGGCCUCACUUACUUUACUUAAAAUGGGAAGAAUAUAUUCAUCGAUGGGUUGUUUUUUUUUGUUUUUGUUUUUUUUUGAGACGGAGUCUCGCUCUCUCGCUCUGUCUCCCAGGCUGGAGUGCAAUGACUCGAUCUCGGCUCACUGCAAGCUCUGCCUCCCGGGUUCAUGCCAUUCUCCUGCCUCAGCCUCCCCAGUAGCUGGGACUACAGGCACCCGCCACCAUGCCUGGCUAAUUUUUUUGUAUUUUUUAGUAGAGACGGGGUUUCACCGUGUUAGCCAGGAUAGUCUCGAUCACCUGACCUCGUGAUCUGCCCGCCUCGGCCUCCCAAAGUGCUGGGAUUACAGGCGUGAGCCACCGCGCCCGGCCGAUGGGUUGUUGUAAGAAUUAAUUAAGAUAACUCUCAUAAAUUUCCUUGCAAAAUGCUUGGCCUAUAACAGCUGACAACUGAAUAUUCUUAUCUCCCUUAUAUUGGCAGAAAACAAACAAAGGGAAGAUCAUACUGCAUUAUAAAUUUCUGUAACUAAUAGUAAUCAACAAUUGUCUAUUUUGUUCUACCCAUGCAAACAGACUCUAGCACUGUCCAAUCCUGUACCCACUAGCUACAGCACAAUUUGACAACUGACCACUUGAAAUGUGGCUACUCUGAAUCUAAUUUCAGUUAAUUUAAGUGUAAACAGCCACAUGCAGCUAGUGGCUACUGAAUUGCACAGUGCAGGUCUAGACUCCUAAAGCAGUGCUUCUUUACCUUGGUUUCAUAAUGGGAUCACCUGUGAAGCUUUACAAUACACCGCUGCCUAGGCCCCUUGCCAGAGCAAUUGGAUUUUAAUCUGUGGGCCCAGAACAAGGACGUUUAAAGAGCUCCCCAGGUGAUUUUAAUACAGAGAGAAACACUGCUCUAGUGUUCCCUUUAUACUCUCCCUCUCCCCCAUCAAUUAGUACCCUCAUUUCAAGAAAAAAAGGGCAGUGUUUUUGAUCUGUUGAUAUUUUAUAGAUACUUCUAAUAACUUUCCUUAUAUCUAUGACUGGAUCUAUAACUCCAAGUAUUAUCUGUGUCUCUUCUCUCAAAUUUUUUGUCACUGAUAAAAUAGGGAAUGGCUAAUAUAUACAGUAUUAUCUAUGGAAUCAUAAAUAUGUAUUAAAAGUAGACAGAAAGAAUAUCAACUUCAGGUUAAUCAAGAGAGGGAAGAGGAACAUAGGUAUUGAAAAAUCCAACUGUAGUUAAUGUUCUAUUGAUGUAAAAAUUCUUUUUUAAGUUUUUACUGCUUUUAAUUGUAGAAAUAAAGAGCUAAACCAUAGCAUAACUCUUUUUGCAGUGACAAUUCUGUUCAUAUACAGGGGAUGUUUCUGCUUUAGCUAAAAUCUAAAACUUCAAUAAAUAAGCAACUACCCACCAAUCCCUCAAAUAUGCCUGUACUUGUCACUCUUUUUCUCUUUUUCUUUUUUUUUUUCUUUUGAGACAGACAGGGUCUCUAUAACCCAGGCUGGAGUGCAGUGGCACUAUCACAGCUCACCACAAUCUCAACCUCCUGGACUUGGGUGAUCCUCCCACCUUAGCCUCCCAAGUAGUUGGGACUACAAGUGCGCACCAGCACGCCCGGCUAAUUUUUGUAUUUUUUGGAGAGAUGGGAUUUCUCUUAUGUUGCCCAGGCUAGUCUCGAACGCCUGGGCUCAAGCGAUCCACCUGCCUUGGCCUCCCAAAGUGUUGGGAUGACAGGUGUGAGCCACCGUGCCCGGCCCCCUUCACUCUUCUAUACCACUUAUUUCCAUUUAUGUCUACUUAAAAAGUGGUACUAGACCUAAAGAAGGGGAAAUUGAUUGGGAAGGCUUGCUUUCUUUCUUUUUUUUGAGACAGAGUCUCACUGUUGUCGCCUGGGCUGGAGUAAAAUGGCGCGAUCUCAGCUCACUGCAACCUCCGCCUCCCGGGUUCCAGCAAUUCUCCCG
rnacentral:lncRNA from 1 species